rnacentral:rRNA from 1 species
GAUGAACGCUGGCGGCGUGCCUAAUACAUGCAAGUCGAGCGAACGGACGAGAAGCUUGCUUCUCUGAUGUUAGCGGCGGACGGGUGAGUAACACGUGGAUAACCUACCUAUAAGACUGGGAUAACUUCGGGAAACCGGAGCUAAUACCGGAUAAUAUUUUGAACCGCAUGGUUCAAAAGUAAAAGACGGUCUUGCUGUCACUUAUAGAUGGAUCCGCGCUGCAUUAGCUAGUUGGUAAGGUAACGGCUCACCAAGGCAACGAUGCAUAGCCGACCUGAGAGGGUGAUCGGCCACACUGGAACUGAGACACGGUCCAGACUCCUACGGGAGGCAGCAGUAGGGAAUCUUCCGCAAUGGGCGAAAGCCUGACGGAGCAACGCCGCGUGAGUGAUGAAGGUCUUCGGAUCGUAAAACUCUGUUAUUAGGGAAGAACAUAUGUGUAAGUAACUGUGCACAUCUUGACGGUACCUAAUCAGAAAGCCACGGCUAACUACGUG